rnacentral:rRNA from 1 species
UACGUAUGGUGCAAGCGUUAUCCGGAUUUACUGGGUGUAAAGGGAGCGCAGGCGGCACGGCAAGCCUGAUGUGAAAGCCCGCGGCCCAACCGCGGGACUGCAUUGGGAACUACCGGGCUGGAGUGCCGGAGAGGUAGGCGGAAUUCCUAGUGUAGCGGUGAAAUGCGUAGAUAUUAGAGGAACACCAGUGGCGAAGGCGGCCUACUGGACGGUGACUGACGCUGAGGCUCGAAAGCGUGGGGAGCAAACAGG